UACGUAGGGUGCGAGCGUUGUCCGGAUUUACUGGGCGUAAAGAGCUCGUAGGCGGUUUGUCGCGUCGUCUGUGAAAUCCCACAGCUUAACUGUGGGCGUGCAGGCGAUACGGGCAUAACUUGAGUACUGUAGGGGAGACUGGAAUUCCUGGUGUAGCGGUGGAAUGCGCAGAUAUCAGGAGGAACACCGGUGGCGAAGGCGGGUCUCUGGGCCGAUACUGACGCUGAGGAGCGAAAGCGUGGGGAGCGAACAGG
rnacentral:rRNA from 1 species